AAAUAGUUGUAGCUACAAACAAACCCAACAACUGUUCUACAACGUCUUGCUCAUAAGACAUGGUGAUAUGCAUCAUAGCACAUAUGCAUUAAAUACUUGCAUCCGCCAUCUUACGUUGCUCUAUGGGUGCGUUAAAUUCUUACAGCUGUCACCAACCACUACAUUAAUGUAUUAAAUACUUGCAGCUGCCAACAACCCAACAACCACGUUACAUAAUCCUAUAUAUUAAAAGACUUACUAUUAUAUAUUACUUGAACCACAUGUGUUGAUGCUUUUCUAGCACGUGGCGUAUAGCCAAUGAGCAACCUAGAACGUGGAACAUUGCAAAGAUGAAGCGUCCAUCUUCUCAACAAGAUUUAAUUAGUCCAACUGGAAAUUAGAGCCUGCCAACUAUUCAUGACAACUAGCUAAAGAGCUGUCAGCAUCUUGUAUAAAUAACGGUGCCCGGAUGGCUAGUGAGAACACAGGGCAACAUAUAGCAGCAAGUCUUAACUAGCAGUGAAUGGGUGUUCUUCUUUUGUUCGUGUCACUUCUGGUUGCUGUGGCCGGCAGUGGUCACUGUGCAGCUUUGGUGACAUGAGCCUUGUUGCAUGUAGAAAAUAAGGAAGAUGAGGCCGAAAACCUCCUUCAUCUAUGGCGAGUUGUAUUUCCUAUGCUAAUAUAUGUGGUCCCUGGCUCUAGUACUAAGCAUGUUCCAUCUACCCAUGUGUGCUCAUCUACAAAUGUGUUAUAUUUAUUUAUUUUAUCGCAUGUUUUUUUUUCUAUUUACACUCACAUUUCUGACUUGCUAUCCAUGACAGGUCCACUUGCCUGAUACCAAGGCUUCUUGUGAACUCCUCUCUCCAUCUCCCAAAGAGUGCCAUAGUUUAAUGUACCUGCAUGCACAUAAAAAAAUUAAUCCAUCCUUUGUCCCCUCACCUUUUCUAGUGCUCAACAUCCUCUCACCCCUCCCUGUUUUGCUACCUGUGUCCUCUCCUUUGUGAUUAUUAAAUUGCAUUUUCCAUCCGGGUUUGGCAACUGUUAACAGGAGCAUGACUUUCUCAAUGGUACUCUUGUUUUGCACAAUCCUAAGUGGGGUUCCUCACCUGGUAGCAUGUGAAGGUUCCAAUCUUUCUUUGUGGCGUUGAGCCACGCCUAGUCCAAGUGCAUAACAUUUUUUAUUUCAAUCAACUUGGAGUCGCUUGGUAAAGUAUACUGAUCUAACAAAGAAAACAUCACCUCACCAUUUCAUUUCUUGAUUCCUUCCAUCAAAUAAGCUUUUAGUUAGUUGGAAUGUUGUCAUAACAGGCCAUCUUCAGAUGACCUAUGCACUGAACUUUUAAUCACACCUAGGGAUCUUGCAAGUGUACUCCGAUCCUCAUGUAGUCCUAUGUUAGGCAAUUGUAGCUACACGUGAUUGAUAAACUUUAUUUUUUUUGCAUUAUCAUCUAUUGGGCUCCUUUAAUGAUACAUCAACUGCUACACCUUUCUCAUAACAUUCGACUAUAUGCCGGCUAAUAUUGAACUUUUGGGCAACUAGGACAAAUAAAAAUGAUCAAUCUGGUGAAUGUGCUCUAAGCAAAAUCAUUGUUUCAAAAUGUGAACAUACCUAGCUCGUCAUGCAGAUUGUGCUCAAUGUCUUCUAGGUCAUGGACAAAAUUAAGUGUUGUUUUGUUAUUCUGCUGAAGAAAUUAAUCAUUUUCUAAAUGUCUAGCAAAGUAGAGACUACUAGAAAUUUGGCAUUUUAGAAUGGAUAGAAAUCAUUGCAAUGGGCCUGAAAUCGUGACAUAUCUACCAAAAUAGUCACUAUUUCACUUCUAUUGGCUGGCAUGGCAACUAGCUGCAUGGUUAAAAGAUUGGACCAUGGUUUUUUUCAAUUGUUGCAAUAAAAGUGGUAAUUGUCACAUGAUGAAAUAGUAGUUGCAACAAUAUAAUUUUCUGGUAGAAGAACAUUCCAAAUUAUUAUAACCAUAAAAAACUGCUAGUUGGAAUCUAACCUUAGACCUAUUAGGCACAUAAUCCCUUACCACUACAUUAGAGAUACUUCUAUUUUAUAUUUUACUAAAAAUUAUUUUACAUUUUACUAAAAAAAUUAGCUUAUCCUCUUUGUACACAACAAGAAUGCACAAAAAAUAUGGCCAUAAUUAUGAAAACACAGCAAUAGUACUCAUAUAUUGUAACAAUGCUUCAUGUAGGUAAUAUUCGAUUUCAUUGAUGCAAACACUUUUGGGACUAUUGCCACACUAUAAUAUGGCUAGACAAUCAUCAUAAUUCAAAAAUAUAUUCUAUUUUUCAGAAAAGAUGGUUGAUCUGACAUAUACUGAUUGCAACAAUAGUUUUUGGAUUUGAACAGCGAACGGUCUUUUUCGGACCAUCCAUGAUAACUUUGUUUCUCCCUAUUUUGAGCGUAAUGGCUGGAAUUCAGGGAGUUGCUAUAAAUACCCCUUACUCUGCGUAGGAGAGGUCUCUUGGCACUUUGCAAAGGUUCUUUGAUAUUCCCAAGCCAACCUUCCCCUCUGCCUCACUUACUUUGGUUAGCGAUUUCUCUUGUGAGUGCGAGAGCAUCUGAGUGCAUUUCAUCAAGUGUUUGAGCUUUGUGACACUAGAAAAUCUUCAAGUAAGCGUCAUUGGCUUGUUAGUCUUAGGUGUUGUUGCCUUACAGAUGGCUUGGAGAACAUGACAUCAUUGGGCCAUUCAAGAAGAUUGUGGAGGAGGCCCGGCUAUUCUUGUGAGAGGUUCUCGAGCUCACCCUGACAGAGUGGUAAAGAGCAACUCUAGUGCCAUUAAGGUUUGAUGAGAUUCUUUGAUUCAAGCUGGCUCAAAAUCAAGUGGAGUUGUGAUAGAGGAGCAGUUGAGGCAUUGAAUCCACCUCAACAUGGAUUAGGGUUGACCGGCAUGUCAUCAUCAAAACCACAAAAAAUCAUCUCUUUUGUCCAGUUAUUCAUUUGCCCAAUUUCAUUCUCAAUUUACUUUAAGCAAUUUGCACUUGCACUGAAAGAGAUUGAAUAUUUCCUGUCACCCUAGGAUGCAAACCCUCACUAGAACUAGUGUUAGUAGAUAAGCUCUCUCUCUCUCUCUCUCAUGUUAGUAAUUAAAUUUGCUGAGUGUUGUGAUUUUAGUUGAAACCGCCUAUUCACCCCCCACUAUUCGGUAUAAUUGAUCCUACAAUCUACCACUAUAUUCUUGUUGUGCACGUUGAUAUUAUGCUCCUUGACCGAUCCCCUCGUAGGGCAGGAGGACCUAUGUUGAUGUACCCAGGGUAAACAUCCCCCGCAAAAGGCACCACAAGUGUUUCAAUGGAAGAUGCAAAAUUUGGAUCU